GAUCCUGGCUCGAGGAUGAACGCUAGCUACAGGCUUAACACAUUCAAGUCGAGGGGCAGCAUGGUCUUAGCUUGCUAAGGCCGAUGGCGACCGGCGCACGGGUGAGUAACACGUAUCCAACCUGCCGUCUACUCUUGGACAGCCUUCUGAAAGGAAGAUUAAUACAAGAUGGCAUCAUGAGUUCACAUGUUCACAUGAUUAAAGGUAUUCCGGUAGACGAUGGGGAUGCG
rnacentral:rRNA from 1 species